ACCUAAUAGAUACCCGGGUAGUCCGCGCAGUAAACGAUGUGGACGAGGUGUGGGGGAGUUGACCCCUCCCGUGCCGGCGCAAAACGACAGUAAAGUCCACCGCCUGGGGAGUACGGCCGCAAGGCUAAAACUACAAAGGAAUUGACGGGGGCCCGGCACAAGCAGCGGAGCGUGUGGUUUAAUUCGAAGCAACGCGGAGAACCUUACCAGGGCUUGACAUCCUCGGAACCCGGCUGAAAGGCUGGGGUGCCCGCAAGGGAACCGAGAGACAGGUGCUGCAUGGCUGUCGUCAGCUCGUGUCGUGAGAUGUUGGGUUAAGUCCCGCAACGAGCGCAACCCUCGUGGUUAGUUACGACGUGUCUAGCCAGACUGCCGGGCACAA
rnacentral:rRNA from 1 species